GAGAUAAGUUUUGGGUUGCCCAUUACCAAAAUUAGGCGAUGGAAAUUUAUAUUUCGUUGCCCUUGUUUAGUAAAUUGGCCAAUUCAAAUUAUAUUUCGUUGCACAAACCCGAAAGAAAAUCGCGAAAAGAACCGCUCUAAUAUUCCCACGAAAUCACGUUCUUUGUAUUUCACUUCUCCAAGGCUUCAACUGCUCAUCUCACAUCCUCUUCGUCUUUGGUCCACUCCCUGAUUUCUCUUUUUUUCCGGUGAUUUGGUGCUGCUUCCGGCGAGAGCAUAACAGUUUUCAGGUGGUGAGGCGGGUGGAGGUCAGUAGCAAGUUCGGCGGCAAGUUCGGCGGCAAGGCAUGUAACAAAGUCAGGCACAACAGCAGGUGUAACAUCAUUGCCAGCCAGCUCCAGCACUUCAAGAAAAGGAGCUGAAUCUUUAAGAGAAUUUGCUAUGGCAAUAGUGCGCUGACAGGAACAAUGGGUCGUGACUAUUUUCCGAAACGAAAUUAGCAGAGGAAAGCUAUGAUAAGGCUUGGAUUAUGUGAACUUCUUCGUAGAUUAUGGGUACUGUUAAUUAGUUUUUUUUUAGAUUUACUUUGAAUUAUUCAAGUUACAUUGGAUGUCAAAUUUGAAGAUUAUUUUGUUGUACUUCGAUUAUAUACAAUUUGUUAUUCCACAAAUACUUCUUCUAGUA